rnacentral:rRNA from 1 species
UACGGAGGAUGCAAGCGUUAUCCGGAUUUAUUAGGUUUAAAGGGUGCGUAGGCGGAGAUUUAAGUCAGUGGUAAAAGGCAAUAGCUUAACUAUUGUAAGCCAUUGAUACUGGGUUUCUUGAGUUCGGUAGAGGUAGGCGGAAUGUGUUGUGUAGCGGUGAAAUGCUUAGAUAUAACACAGAACACCGAUUGCGAAGGCAGCUUACUAUGCCGUUACUGACGCUGAUGCACGAAAGCGUGGGGAUCAAACAGGAUUAGAUACCCUGGUAGUCCACGCUGUAAACGAUGAUCACUCGUUGUUGGCGAUACACAGUCAGCGACUGAGCGAAAGCAUUAAGUGAUCCACCUGGGGAGUACGUUCGCAAGAAUGAA